AUUGAACGCUGGCGGCAGGCCUAACACAUGCAAGUAGAACGAGUGGCGGACGGGUGAGUAAUGUCUGGGAAACUGCCUGAUGGAGGGGGAUAACUACUGGAAACGGUAGCUAAUACCGCAUACCCUCGGAUGUGCCCAGAUGGGAUUAGCUAUUAGGUGGGGUAAAGGCUCACAUAGGUGAAGCUCCCUAGCUGGUCUGAGAGGAUGACCAGCCACACGUGAACUGAGACACGGUCCAGACUCGUACGGGAGGCAGCAGUGGGGAAUAGUGCACAAUGGGCGCAAGCCUGAUGCAGCCAUGCCGCGUGUAUGAAGAAGGCCUUCGGGUUGUAAAGUACUUUCAGCGGGGAGGCGUUACCCGCAGAAGAAGCACCGGCUAACUCCGUGCCAGCAGCCGCGGUAAUUC
rnacentral:rRNA from 1 species